AUUUUUGACUUACUUGAUGUCAAGCGCAAUGGGGUUAUUGAGUUUGGAGAAUUUGUUCGAUCAUUAGAUAUCUAUCACCCCAAUGCACCUAUACGAAACAAUUGCAUCUGCGUUUAGACGGUAUGAUAUGAGACAAACAGGGUUCAUUGAAUGAGAGAAGGUUUGUUUCACAUUGAAACAUCCUUGAUCCCACAGUCUACAAGGAUAUGAUAUUGAGGGCGUUCUAAAAUUUGUGCAUUGGCUUGAUGGAUAACCUGCAUCGUUGGGAAGCCAGCAUUGAACCAACAACAUCAUCCGUAGAGACCAUCAACUAGGAGAAAAACGAGCGAGGUGUCAUGACACUUUUGUGCAGACAGAAUUGGAGGAAGCAACUUUUUCGACAACUUCCAUAACUCCCCACCACUAGGCUAACAGCUUUUCAGCAUACACAUGCUAAUAGACAUCAUCACCUAUUUUUGGCAAGCUGAUCAAGCAGUGAUUGUAACUAAGUUAGUCUACAACUAGAACAACCUAUUUUUUGAACACUG
rnacentral:lncRNA from 1 species